UUGGGUAGGGGAGCGUUGAAUACGGAUUGAAGUCAGACCGGAAGGACUGGUGGACUGUAUUCAAGUGAGAAUGCCGGUAUGAGUAACGAAAAGACAAGUGAGAAUCUUGUCCGCCGAAAGCCUAAGGGUUCCUGAGGAAGGCUCGUCCGCUCAGGGUAAGUCGGGACCUAAGGCGAGGCCGAAAGGCGUAGUCGAAGGACAACAGGUUGAAAUUCCUGUACCACCGAAGAUUGUUUGAGCAAUGGGGUGACACAGAAGGAUAGUGACGCGGACUGAUGGAUGUCCGUCCAAGCAGUGAGGCUGAUGUGUAGGCAAAUCCGCACAUCGUAAGGCUGGGCUGUGAUGGGGAGCGAAAAUUGCAGUAGCGAAGGUCAUGAGUUCAGGCUGUCAAGAAAAGCCUCUAGUGAGAUCUAGGUGCCCGUACCGCAAACCGACACAGGUAGGCGAGCAGAGCAUGCUAAGGCGCGCGGAAGAACUCUCGUUAAGGAACUCGGCAAAAUGACCCCGUAACUUCGGGAGAAGGGGUGCCUCGGUAGGGUGAAUAGCCCGAGGGGGCCGCAGUGAAAAGGCCCAAGCGACUGUUUAGCAAAAACACAGGUCUGUGCGAAGCCGUAAGGCGAAGUAUACGGGCUGACGCCUGCCCGGUGCUGGAAGGUUAAGGGGAGCGGUUAGGAGCAAUCCGAAGCUGUGAACCGAAGCCCCAGUAAACGGCGGCCGUAACUAUAACGGUCCUAAGGUAGCGAAAUUCCUUGUCAGGUAAAUUCUGACCCGCACGAAUGGCGUAACGACUUGGGCGCUGUCUCAACGAGAGAUCCGGUGAAAUUUUAAUACCUGUGAAGAUGCAGGUUACCCGCGACAAGACGGAAAGACCCCAUGGAGCUUUACUGCAGCUUGAUAUUGGACUUUGGUACGAUCUGUACAGGAUAGGUGGGAGCCUAAGAAGCCUGAGCGCCAGCUUGGGUGGAGGCGCCGUUGGGAUACCACCCUGAUCGUAUCGGAGUUCUAACCUGCCACCCUGAAUCGGGUGGAGGGACCGUGUCAGGCGGGCAGUUUGACUGGGGCGGUCGCCUCCUAAAAUGUAACGGAGGCGCCCCAAGGUUCCCUCAGAAUGGUUGGAAAUCAUUCGAAGAGUGCAAAGGCAUAAGGGAGCUUGACUGCGAGACCAACAAGUCGAGCAGGGACGAAAGUCGGGCUUAGUGAUCCGGUGGUACCGAAUGGAAGGGCCAUCGCUCAACGGAUAAAAGCUACCCUGGGGAUAACAGGCUUAUCUCCCCCAAGAGUCCACAUCGACGGGGAGGUUUGGCACCUCGAUGUCGGCUCAUCGCAUCCUGGGGCUGAAGUAGGUCCCAAGGGUUGGGCUGUUCGCCCAUUAAAGCGGUACGCGAGCUGGGUUCAGAACGUCGUGAGACAGUUCGGUCCCUAUCUGUCGUGGGCGUAGGAAAUUUGAGAGGAGCUGUCCUUAGUACGAGAGGACCGGGAUGGACGUACCGCUGGUGUACCAGUUGUUCCGCCAGGAGCACCGCUGGGUAGCUAUGUACGGACGGGAUAAGCGCUGAAAGCAUCUAAGCGCGAAGCCCCCCUCAAGAUGAGAUUUCCCAAUUAGUAAGACCCCUUGAAGACGACGAGGUUGAUAGGCUGGGGGUGGAAGCACAGCAAUGUGUGGAGCUGACCAGUACUAAUCGGUCGAGGGCUUAUCCU
rnacentral:rRNA from 1 species